rnacentral:lncRNA from 1 species
CCCAAUAAUUCACCCUUGUACAACACUCGAUCUAUCCUUUGGGUUAUAAUUUACAAUAUAUUCUUCCACUAAUGACAUAUUAAUUGAUGGUAAGCAAUCUGAUUGGUACAAAAAUUGGAACAACUAUGCAUUUCAAAAGUCUUUUAUUUUUCUCGAUGUCUAGCAGAUAUCUAACUUCAUCGGCUCUAUAUUGAUAACGAUUAUCACAGAAGGUGGUUUUAAUGGGUGUCUAGCUCUCACAUUUCGGCCACUGUCCUCUUUCUCUAUAGCUUGCUUUACACUUUCAAUUGCCAUGAUGCUCCU